rnacentral:rRNA from 1 species
UUUGAGAGUUUGAUCCUGGCUCAGGAUUAACGCUGGCGGCAUGCCUAACACAUGCAAGUCGAAUGCCNNGACGGCUGAGUAACGCGUGGGAACUUACCUCUAAGUUGGGUAUAACCUGCCGAAAGGCGGGAUAAUCCCCAAUGUCCCGCCAAUUUAGUGUUGGUGUUCAAGUAGAUGCUAAUUGAAUGGUGUGAUGCUGUUCGAUUGGGCGGACUAUCAUAUACGAACAUUAAAUUGGCGGGAAAGAUUUAUCGCUUAGAGAGAGGCCUGCGUUCGAUUAGCUUGUUGGUGGGGUAAUGGCCUACCAAGGCUCUGAUCGAUAGGGGGCUUUAGAGGGUGACCCCCCAGACUGGGACUGAGACACGGCCCAGACUCCUACGGGAGGCAGCAGUGAGGGAUUUUCCGCAAUGGACGAAAGUCUGACGGAGCGACGCCGCGUGNNAAUGGGCGAAAGCCUGACGGAGCAAUGCCGCGUGGAGGAAGAAGGUCUUCGGAUUGUAAACUUCUUUUGCCCUUGAAGAUUAUGACGGUAAAGGGCGAAUAAGGCGCUGCUAACUACGUGCCAGCAGCAGCGGUAAUACGUAGGCGCCGAGCGUUAUCCGGAUUUACUGGGCGUAAAGCGUCCGCAGGUGGGUUUACAAGUCUGACAUCAAAGCCCUUGGCUCAACCAAGGAAAGGUGCCAGAAACUGUUUAUCUAGAGAUUGGAAGAGGCUGAUGGAACUUCUGGAGUAGGGGUAAUAUCCGUAGAUACCAGAAGGAACACCAAAGGCGAAGGCAGUCAGCUGG